UACGUAGGGCGCAAGCGUUGUCCGGAAUUAUUGGGCGUAAAGAGCUCGUAGGCGGUUUGUCGCGUCUGCUGUGAAAUCCCGAGGCUCAACCUCGGGCUUGCAGUGGGUACGGGCUGACUAGAGUGCGGUAGGGGAGACUGGAAUUCCUGGUGUAGCGGUGGAAUGCGCAGAUAUCAGGAGGAACACCGAUGGCGAAGGCAGGUCUCUGGGCCGCAACUGACGCUGAGGAGCGAAAGCAUGGGGAGCGAACAGG
rnacentral:rRNA from 1 species